rnacentral:rRNA from 1 species
CCGUAGCCCAAGAGAUCGGGAUAACACCUGGAAACAGAUGCUAAUACCGGAUAACAACAGAUGAUGCCUAUCAACUGUUUAAAAGAUGGUUCUGCUAUCACUCUUGGAUGGACCUGCGGUGCAUUAGCUAGUUGGUAGGGUAACGGCCUACCAAGGCGAUGAUGCAUAGCCAAGUUGAGAGACUGAUCGGCCACAUUGGGACUGAGACACGGCCCAAACUCCUACGGGAGGCAGCAGUC